rnacentral:rRNA from 1 species
UACGUAGGGUGCAAGCGUUAUCCGGAAUUAUUGGGCGUAAAGAGCUCGUAGGCGGUUUGUCGCGUCUGCUGUGAAAACUGGAGGCUCAACCUCCAGCCUGCAGUGGGUACGGGCAGACUAGAGUGCGGUAGGGGAGAUUGGAAUUCCUGGUGUAGCGGUGAAAUGCGCAGAUAUCAGGAGGAACACCGGUGGCGAAGGCGGGUCUCUGGGCCGAUACUGACGCUGAGGAGCGAAAGCGUGGGGAGCGAACGGG